GUGGGGAAUAUUGGACAAUGGGCGCAAGCCUGAUCCAGCCAUGCCGCGUGUGUGAAGAAGGCCUUUUGGUUGUAAAGCACUUUAAGCGAGGAGGAGGCUCCUUUAGUUAAUACCUAAAGAGAGUGGACGUUACUCGCAGAAUAAGCACCGGCUAACUCUGUGCCAGCAGCCGCGGUAAUACAGAGGGUGCGAGCGUUAAUCGGAUUUACUGGGCGUAAAGCGUGCGUAGGCGGCUUUUUAAGUCGGAUGUGAAAUCACUGAGCUUAACUUAGGAAUUGCAUUCGAUACUGGAAAGCUAGAGGAUGGGAGAGGAUGGUAGAAUUCCAGGUGUAGCGGUGAAAUGCGUAGAGAUCUGGAGGAAUACCGAUGGCGAAGGCAGCCAUCUGGCCUAAUACUGACGCUGAGGUACGAAAGCAUGGGGAGCAAACAGGAUUAGAAACCCGGGUAGUCC
rnacentral:rRNA from 1 species